rnacentral:misc_RNA from 1 species
UAGGAUCUUGCAUAAAUUUCUUGCAAACUGGGCGGAUUUCUUUGCUGAGUGUUGCAGAAAACAUCAUAACUUGCUUAUCAUGAGGAGUCAUCUUGAAGAUCUCCUGCACAUCCCUCCUCAUGUCAAGUGAUUCAAGCAUCUUGUCACAUUCAUCAAGAAUAAAGUGCCUCACAUUCUUCAAUGAAAGUUCCUUAUCUCUCGC